rnacentral:rRNA from 1 species
UCGAGCGAACAGACGAGGAGCUUGUCCUUUGACGUUAGCGGCGGACGGGUGAGUAACACGUAGGUAACCUACCUAUAAGACUGGGAUAACUUCGGGAAACCGGAGCUAAUACCGGAUAAUAUUUCGAACCGCAUGGUUCGAUAGUGAAAGAUGGCUUUGCUAUCACUUAUAGAUGGACCUGCGCCGUAUUAGCUAGUUGGUAAGGUAACGGCUUACCAAGGCAACGAUACGUAGCCGACCUGAGAGGGUGAUCGGCCACACUGGAACUGAGACACGGUCCAGACUCCUACGGGAGGCAGCAGUAGGGAAUCUUCCGCAAUGGGCGAAAGCCUGACGGAGCAACGCCGCGUGAGUGAUGAAGGUCUUCGGAUCGUAAAACUCUGUUAUUAGGGAAGAACAAACGUGUAAGUAACUGUGCACGUCUUGACGGUACCUAAUCAGAAAGCCACGGCUAACUACGUGCCAGCAG